rnacentral:rRNA from 1 species
UACGAAGGGUGCUAGCGUUGUUCGGAAUUACUGGGCGUAAAGGGCGCGUAGGCGGUGUGUCAAGUCAGGCGUGAAAGCCCCGGGCUCAACCUGGGAACCGCGCUUGAGACUGGCACGCUAGAGUUCGGGAGAGGAUGGUGGAAUUCCCAGUGUAGAGGUGAAAUUCGUAGAUAUUGGGAAGAACACCGAUGGCGAAGGCAGCCAUCUGGACCGACACUGACGCUGAGGCGCGAAAGCGUGGGGAGCAAACAGG